AUUGAACGCUGGCGGCAGGCCUAACACAUGCAAGUCGAGCGGAUGAAGGGAGCUUGCUCCUGGAUUCAGCGGCGGACGGGUGAGUAAUGCCUAGGAAUCUGCCUGGUAGUGGGGGAUAACGUCCGGAAACGGGCGCUAAUACCGCAUACGUCCUGAGGGAGCAAGUGGGGGAUCUUCGGACCUCACGCUAUCAGAUGAGCCUAGGUCGGAUUAGCUAGUUGGUGGGGUAAAGGCCUACCAAGGCGACGAUCCGUAACUGGUCUGAGAGGAUGAUCAGUCACACUGGAACUGAGACACGGUCCAGACUGCUACGGGAGGCAGCAGUGGGGAAUAUUGGACAAUGGGCGAAAGCCUGAUCCAGCCAUGCCGCGUGUGUGAAGAAGGUCUUCGGAUUGUAAAGCACUUUAAGUUGGGAGGAAGGGCAGUAAGUUAAUACCUUGCUGUUUUGACGUUACCAACAGAAUAAGCACCGGCUAACUUCGUG
rnacentral:rRNA from 1 species